AAACAUUAUGUGAAUAUUUCUAAUUAAAACCAUUCCUCGCUAUUACUCUGUGGGUGUUGUAGCUCUGAUGAUGAGAGAACUGUUGAGGAGACGAGUAGUGAAGGUGCUGUGUCAAAGCUUGACUACAGAAGGAGACAUUCAUCUGGCAGGAAGGGGAAGAGGAGGCGUUUGUACCAAAGCAAAAGGAAUGACUCCUGCAUUUAUUUUUAUUUUCAGAGCACAAAGAAAGAUCGGGGCAAGAGCAGGAUAGAUGAAGAUCAACUCAAAGAGCUGAGCAUGUCACUUACUGAGCUUCAACAGCAAAAAACAGCCACACUUCAUACUCUGAAGAAGCGGAGAGAGGAAAUGGAUCAAGCUAAGAGAGAGCAUCUCUCUCUCCAGCUCAGUGUGAAGGACAGCAGAGCACAGGCUCAGAACAUCACGUGUGAGCUAAAAAGACUGCAGGCCCAGAGGAACUUAUGCUUGGAGGAAGUCAGGGUUCUGCAGGAUCAACAGUGUGUAAGCCGCAGUGUGUCUGUUCUGGAGAGGGAAGAGAUGGACAGACUGCUGGAUAAUGCCAAGUCAGAACUGUUCUCAGAACAGAGGCGUUUCAGACACAAACUGGACUCUAUGCAUGAGAGGCUGGAUGAGGUGAAUCAGGAGCUGGAGCAGAGCGAGGAGGACUGCAGGGCUCUCCGACAGAAAUGCACUGAGCUGGAGGAGCAGCUGGCUGAUACGAUCAGAGAAAAAGAACAAAUAAAGGAGAUUUCUCAGAAAGAUCUAGAGCAACAGGUGAAGUGUUUUGGAGUACUGGAGCGAAUUGUUGCCCAGAAGGAGCUGCUUUUGCAGGGAAGCGAAGACGAAAAAAAAGGCCUUCUUCAGGAGCUCUGUUCACUGAGAGAGGAGCACAGCUUUAAGCUGAGAGAAAUGCAGAACAAGACAGAGCAAGAGAUUGAGCAACUGACAUUACAGUUAACCAAAAGCCACAAAGAGGAGCUUCAAAAGGUGCAUCAGCAGGUGGAUGAGUUGAGAUCAGCUGCUCUCAGUCAGCAAGCUCAGACCCACAAACAGAGCCUGGACUUCUUACACAACUGCAUCCAGAUGAAAGAUGAGGAGAUAAAGAGACUAAAAGAGGCUCUAGAGCAGCAUGAGGAGAAGAUGAGGAGGCAAGCAGUGGAACUCAAAAGAGAAGCUCAGGAAAAGGUUCCUUCCC
rnacentral:lncRNA from 1 species